UACGGAGGGUGCAAGCGUUGUUCGGAAUCACUGGGCGUAAAGGGCGUGUAGGCGGUCCGCUAAGUCUGAUGUGAAAGCCCGGGGCUCACCCCCGGAAGUGCAUUGGAAACUGAUGGACUCGAGUCCCGGAGAGGAGAGUGGAAUUCCUGGUGUAGCGGUGAAAUGCGUAGAUAUCAGGAGGAACACCGGUGGCGAAGGCGGCUCUCUGGACGGUGACUGACGCUGAGACGCGAAAGCGUGGGGAGCAAACAGG
rnacentral:rRNA from 1 species